UCCUACGGGAGGCAGCAGUGGGGAAUAUUGCACAAUGGGGGAAACCCUGAUGCAGCGACGCCGCGUGAGUGAUGAAGUAUUUCGGUAUGUAAAGCUCUAUCAGCAGGGAAGAUAAUGACGGUACCUGACUAAGAAGCACCGGCUAAAUACGUGCCAGCAGCCGCGGUAAUACGUAUGGUGCAAGCGUUAUCCGGAUUUACUGGGUGUAAAGGGUGCGUAGGUGGUAAGGCAAGUCAGGAGUGAAAACACGGGGCUCAACCCCGUGACUGCUUUUGAAACUGUCUAACUAGAGUGCAGGAGAGGAAAGCGGAAUUCCUAGUGUAGCGGUGAAAUGCGUAGAUAUUAGGAGGAACACCGGUGGCGAAGGCGGCUUUCUGGACUGUAACUGACACUGAAGCACGAAAGCGUGGGGAGCAAACAGGAUUAGAUACCCUGGUAGUCC
rnacentral:rRNA from 1 species